GUUAAACGGAGGAAGAAAAGGAGCUCAGGGCAUGGAGCAAAACGGAGCCUUCACCCCGUCACCGCGGCAGGGACCUGGAGUUAAAUCCCGUGCGACCAGCUCCAGAAGAAAGGAUGGAUGGUUUGGGGGAUGCUUGAAGGGAACUACAGGCAGAGAAAAGCGAUAAUAAAAGUUUAGGAAGUGGGAAAGCCCACGCUCGGCUGGCUCGGGACACAGCAGAUCACCUGCAAUAACCCAGGGAGCCCACUCAUGUCCGCAGGCUUCGCACAGAAUGUAAUGUUAUAAUAAACGCCACGAAUGACCCGACGUCCUCGGAAGCGAACUCCCCCCUCAUCCUCCAAACGAAAAAGCAAAACGCGGCAGCUCCCGCCGGCAGCAGAUUUUUAAGUCUUUUAUUUCCUUGAGCAUGGCCGGUUCCAGCAGGAGAAUUACCCAAGUUAACAGGUAAUAAAUACGCAGCAUUCGUCACAUCUGGCUACGAUUCACGUCGCCGCAAAGGCGCGGGGGCUGCUGCGCCAACAUCCACCUCCGCCUUCCAGCAGGAACAGCUCGGAGAGCGGAGAAAUUAUUUUUCCAACGUCCUUUCAUCGCACCGCGCAAAAGGUUACGGGUCCUUUUCACCCAGUUUUAAAAGAGAUGGAGCCCUCCAGGUCAGAGAUUAUCUCGAUUAGUUACUCGCUCUGUUAAAAAGCUUCGCUGGCAAGUUCAGACAUCGAAGAGCCAACUUCAGGACGCCAAAAUUCUUCACCAGCUGAACUUAUUCCUAAGCUCUGAAAGGACCAGAAAGGUCUCCCCGGUGAACAGCU